rnacentral:rRNA from 1 species
CCUACGGGUGGCAGCAGUAGGGAAUAUUGGUCAAUGGGCGGAACCCUGAACCAGCGACGCCGCGUGAGUGAUGAAGGUUUUCGGUUUGUAAACCCCUUUUUGUAGAGAAGAAAAUGACGGUACCUGACCAAUAAGCCCCGGCUAACUACGUGCCAGCAGCCGCGGUAAUACGCAGGGGGCCAGCGUUAUCCGGAUUUACUGGGCGUAAAGGGAGCGUAGACGGUGUAGCAAGUCAGAUGUGAAAGGCUAGGGCCAAACCAUAGAACUGCAUUUGAAACUGUUGAACUGGAGUACGGGAGAGGUAGGUGGAAUUCCUGGUGUAGCGGUGAAAUGCGUAGAUAUUAAGAGGAACACUAAUUGCGAAGGCGGCUUACUAGACUAUAACUGACGUUGAUGCUCGAAAGCGUGGGGAGCAAACAGGAUUAGAUACCCGAGUAGUC